GAACAACAAAUACUAUUUAUAGUAGGGGUGUGCCGAUCGAUUGGCCACUGAUCAUAAUCGGCCUAUUUCCGUGAAAAAGUGUAUGAUAGGUGAUCGCCGAUCACGGUGUCUUGUUGCCGAU